CAGAACUGCAAGACAACAAUGACAGGCCACUGUUUGCAGCCACCAGCCUGGUGGGACUUCUGUGCUGGCCCUGGGGUGUAAUCCACCUAUCUGACACAUACCCUGUCUCUCUGCUCUCUAGAAGCACAGAUGCGGGGUAUGAUGACGACGCCCUGAUCCUCUGAGCCGGGAAGUCCGGCACUGUGGUGCAUGCCUGAGAUCUGAAGAGGCUGAGGACUGUGCCUCAAAAACAGCAUCAACCAAGAACAUAGCACAGGCGCGCAAGUGCCCGCCUGGUGAAAUCAGAUGGCCACGGUCCUGGACCAAGAGCUGGAGGACCUGCCAGUGGAAACAAUCUCACACAAUCCUGUUAAGCACACACCACCAAGGAAUGGCGGGCCUCGGGACGGGGCUGCUUCCCCCCCGGCCCUGCCCAGCCGAGCAGAUGGCGGCGUGGGCGAGUCGUGAUGUCUGACAAGGCAAUGUCAC
rnacentral:lncRNA from 1 species